UGAAAUCGCUGUGAAGAUGCAGUGUACCCGCGGCUAGACGGAAAGACCCCGUGAACCUUUACUACAGCUUGGCACUGAACAUUGACCCUACAUGUGUAGGAUAGGUGGGAGGCUUUGAAGCACGUACGCCAGUAUGUGUGGAGCCGUCCUUGAAAUACCACCCUUGUAGUGUUGAUGUUCUAACGUCGACCCCUAAUCGGGGUUGCGGACAGUGCCUGGUGGGUAGUUUGACUGGGGCGGUCUCCUCCCAAAGAGUAACGGAGGAGCACGAAGGUGGGCUAAUCACGGUUGGACAUCGUGAGGUUAGUGCAAUGGCAUAAGCCCGCUUGACUGCGAGAAUGACAAUUCGAGCAGGUGCGAAAGCAGGUCAUAGUGAUCCGGUGGUUCUGAAUGGAAGGGCCAUCGCUCAACGGAUAAAAGGUACUCCGGGGAUAACAGGCUGAUACCGCCCAAGAGUUCAUAUCGACGGCGGUGUUUGGCACCUCGAUGUCGGCUCAUCACAUCCUGGGGCUGAAGUCGGUCCCAAGGGUAUGGCUGUUCGCCAUUUAAAGUGGUACGCGAGCUGGGUUUAGAACGUCGUGAGACAGUUCGGUCCCUAUCUGCCGUGGGCGUUGGAAGAUUGAAGGGGGCUGCUCCUAGUACGAGAGGACCGGAGUGGACGAACCUCUGGUGUUCGGGUUGUGUCGCCAGACGCAUUGCCCGGUAGCUAAGUUCGGAAUCGAUAACCGCUGAAAGCAUCUAAGCGGGAAGCGAGCCCUGAGAUGAGUCUUCCCUGAUACUUUAAGUAUCCUAAAGGGUUGUCGGAGACUACGACGUUGAUAGGUCAGGUGUGUAAGUGCUGUGAGGCAUUGAGCUAACUGAUACUAAUUGCCCGUGAGGCUUAACCAU
rnacentral:rRNA from 1 species